GUCCAGAGUUGACACAUCACCAAGGUCAGCCGUCAUAUUCAAGGCAACAUUCCUGAGGAUCCGCCUCAUGAUCUUCCCGGAGCGAGUCUUCGGCAGCCGCCUCACCGCCUGAGAGACAAACAACAGCGAAUACGGACUCCUGUGUGACUGACAGGUGAGAGAAGAACACCUGGAUACAAUGUGAGCCUGAAACCGCGCUGCAGUGAUGUCACAGUGUACACCAGGCUUUGUCAGUACACAAUGACAUCACUGCUGCUAACUAUUGGUAAGCUAGGUGACUGUGCUGCCAUGGAAACCAAAGUGGGAUGGGGCCUCACCAAGAAGUGCUCUGGGACGGCGUAUUUGGCGAUCUUAGUGGCAACAAGUUCUCUGAGCUGCUGAAGAACGGCUGGGGCAUCCUCCCCGAAAUCCUCCUUCAAAACCACGAAGGCGAACGCAAAAGUUAUUUUACGUAUUCAGCUGCUUCUGCGCCAUCAAGGGAGCUUUAUUUUGAAGGUGCACACAGAAGGAGGUGAAGAUGAAGAUUCACCAUGUUUCCAUAUAAACAACACUGAGGGCAGCAGCAGAGGAUGCUGGGAGUUCAGGUUAGGCGUAUGUGGCGUCUCACCAGAGCGUCCUCUAUCUCCGCCGUACCGAGGCGAUGGCCGCUGACGUUGAUGACAUCAUCCAUCCGGCCGGUUAUCUGGUAGUAGCCGUCCUCUGAGCGGUCACCUUCUCUCCCAUGAGAACCGGCUGGAUGCCGAAGAACGGCCUCAUGGCCAUUGCCGGGAUGAUCGGAGCUCCUUCCUCUGCAGGACGGGGGGCAAUGCAGACUCCGCCGGUCUCUACAAACAGGACAACAGCUCUGGUUUCAUAUUGCACAAUACACAACACACAGGCAGGGUUUUACUCAAUGGUGAUUAUGUUCAAGUGCAGCUGAGUUUGUUCAGUAAAUAUUAGAUGAUAAAUAUUUGGAAAGACGUUCUCGUGAGUUAAUGUAAUGUGUCGUGUCAAUGUGUCAGUUCAUCAUUCUGCGGGCCUGCUGGUGCCUUCUAGAGAAAACCACCGUGUCAGAGUGUCUAUUUUAAUGUCUGUCCAUGAUGCUGUGAUGACGUGUGGCUCUUAAGAGCUUUAAAUUAUAUUUUCUUGUACAUGUGACGGGUGGGUACGGGCUCUCCACACUUGCCUGAAGUAACCAAUCAGAAGCUGGGAGGACUCAGGUAAACGUGACUCAGCAGGUUAUCGGAAUUGUUGCUGAUGAAAGUAUUUAAACAUGUAAAUCAUUAACUGAGUAAACACUGAAAACAUUUUUAGUAAACAUAAAAACUAAACCGACAGUUUAAAUCACAGUUACCUCUGGCUGCCUCUAGAGGGCCUCAGAGGCCGCUCCCAGCUUUAAUUUCCUUUAAUUUCUUAAUUUAUUGGGGAUUUUUCUCCUUUUAAGAGAGAGAAGCAGCUGGCAGAGAGUUUAAAGUCUGAUUUAAAAACGACACAACACACACUCAGAGAUUGUCGAAGAAUUAGGUCACACACACACACACACACGUGGCGGUCAGUGAUCCUCGACGGUCUCGUUGUGGGGGGUUAUGAGGGGCUGCUGUUGGGGUGUGACUGUGUUGAGGAUUUGAUCUUAAUUCAUUUUCUGCACAGCUGCAGAUGUUCUGCUGCUAAUCACUGAAAUUAGGGUUAAAGCUUGAGAGAGGAGAGAUUGAGACGGACUUACAGGGACUCAGGGCUCUCAAAGCACAAGAAACUGCUUUAUAUCCUGCCAGGCUUUUAUGACUCAUCCAGGAGGAAGAGAUCACGACAGUAACCUGACAAUGUGACACCUGCCUGCAGGUCGGCCACAGGUUUGAUUUAUCAGCUAUAGGACAUCGACAGGACUGGGGAGACUGAGUGAAGCGCGUCCACUCAUCGUCUCCUCGUGCUGUAUGCAAAUGAGCUGAAAAGAGAGAGGACACAGGAGACAAAGGAUGGGAUUGUGUGUGUCUCACCUGUCUGCCACCAGGUGUCCACUAAAGGACACCGUCCAUCUCCAACCACACUGUGGAACCAAUGCCAGGCCUCGUGGUUAAUUGGCUCUCCCACUGCUCACACACACACACACACACACACAAUAUACAUUUAUAUUUAAACAUCAUGUUUGUGAAGAGCAUCAGCUUUUGCUUUUUAUAUUUUAUUUUGCUGAUAGCACUUGUGCACUUUUACUUCAUUAAUGCAGUAUUUUUACUCUGUGGUACGUGCUUGUCUUCUCGGUUAGAGAGGACACCGAAGUCUGACUGCUUCUACUGUGGGUUAUCUGCACACGC